rnacentral:rRNA from 1 species
UUAGGAAUUUUGCGCAAUGGGGGAAACCCUGACGCAGCAACGCCGCGUGAGUGAAGAAGGCCUUCGGGUUGUAAAGCUCUUUUAGCUGGAACGAACACAAUGACGGUACCAGCAGAAAAAGCACCGGCUAACUCCGUGCCAGCAGCCGCGGUAAUACGGAGGGUGCAAGCGUUACUCGGAUUUACUGGGCGUAAAGCGCGUGUAGGUGGUUUUUUAAGUCUGAUGUGAAAGCCCUGGACUCAAUCUGGGAAGUGCAUUGGAUACUGAUGAACUAGAGUGCAGGAGAGGAAAGCGGAAUUUCUGGUGUAGAGGUGAAAUUCGUAGAUAUCAGAAGGAACAACAGAAGCGAAGGCGGCUUUCUGGACUGCAACUGACACUGAGACGCGACAGCGUGGGGAGC